rnacentral:tmRNA from 1 species
GGGGGCGUACCGGCUUCGACGUGAGCGGUCAGCGUCUCGUGAGACGAGCCGAGUUUGCUGGAGACUCGUUAAACACCGGCAGCUAAAAAUACACGCCAACGAUGAACUGGCUCUGGCUGCUUAAGUAAAAGCAGCCCAUCGGCCCGGGUAGCCUACGACCCGGGUACCGGUGUCAUCUUAGUAGGCUUACCCCCUGAGCCCU